rnacentral:lncRNA from 1 species
AGCUUGCAGCUCUGUAAACAGGGUUACUGCCACACAAACAGACCAUUCUCUUUUGGAAGGAUAUCUCCUAAGUCACGCAGGUCUGGGUCAGCCAGAAAGCCUCAUGCGAACACAGAAGAGCAAGCUGCUGCCGCUCUGGGACUCACAGACCAGCAAGGAGAGCAACCGGGCUGGGCUGUGCGGCAGAACUGAGCAAGACACAUCCCAGGCGCCCCGCGGGGCCGCUGCCACACCUCGGUACCUCCUGCCCGGGAGACCCCACUGGCACUCUGCCCCAGACGCCACCGCACACACCUCUAGCACCGCCAGCCUUGGAAGCCAGACAGUGCUGCUGCCACAGCCAGGGUAGAAGUGCUCCUCACCCGCUCUUCUUCUUCUUCACAAAACUACCUCGCCGGAUCCAAGUCUGAGGGUGAGCAGCCCCCUGGGGAGGAGCAGAGAGAAGAAUCUCUCGGACUCCAGGGAAGGCCGCGCCCGGACACGUGGUGAGGCUGAUGCGGCGAGGGGCCCACAACAGAAGCAAGGAAACAAAACCAAAGCGCGGAUCCAGUCCACACCUUUGCCCAACUACGCGGACUCUCCCCCAUCCAAAUGAACUCACACGUCUGCCUCAGAGGCCAGCAGGUGGCCGGCAUAUCCAGAGACCACAUACACUCCAGCCCCUGCGUCGGCAUCAAGCUCAGAGGUUCCAGCCAUGCAUCACACUGGCACAGGAAACAUGUCUACCUGACUCACUGGGGACUUGCUGGUGCUGGAGUGGCAGCCCCCGGAGCAUAAACUGCAGGGAGGACCUCGUUCACAACCAAAGUUCUGCUCACAGAAAGGGGCACAGCUGUGGGACCGACAGCCGACGUGGGGAAGAGGCAAGGAUGAUGCACCCAAGUUCCACGUACUGAGAGAAGCUUCUUGUCCGGCGUCAUGCUCCUGGGUACAGCUGCCAUCUGCCUCACAGGCUCACUUCCUGUGGGUUCCAGAUUACUGCGAAGCACCUCACAAAAUCCAGGCUAGAGUCGUCCUUUGCUUCCAUUUGCUGCUAAUGGAGAAGAUUCUCGAAAGCUAGGUUGGCGGGAGGAGGCAUGGCGCUGUGAGUUCAGCAGGAAACUCAAGGGCAAGACUCUGAAGCCUGAGUCUGCUCAGACUCCCCACUUUACACCACCCCCAGGCUGUGUCUGACAGCGAGGCCAGGGCAUCUGGCGAUGCUCAACUCUGGGCUAGUGGUGAGGGUUUCAGUUCCCGGGUCUGCAUGGGGCGCAGCAGCAGAUCACAUUCCAUUGGGCCCAAGGGCCAUGCAGGAAAGUCGUGGCCUGACCAGCCUCGGGGGGGGGGUGUCCUCUGAGCCCUAGUAAGUCUGCCAGCUGUUCCAGCCCCUCUGCAGAGGCAGGUGGGGACACACAAAGCAUGGAAAAUGUCAUUUCUACGUUUCAAGCAGCGCUGGGCGUGGCAGCACAGGCCUGUCAUUGGGCAGUAGGAGGCUGAGGCAGGAGGAUUGCUUAGAGUGCCAGGCUACAUUGUGAGAUCAAGGCCAGCCUGGACUACAGAGCAGGACCCUGUCUCAGAAAAAGUAAAAACUUUUAAAGAUAACUAACUAACUAAAUAAAUUACAGGCAACCUCAUCAAUCCUAGCCUAGCAUCUUUGUCCAGAGGUAGGAAACAAAUUAUCCUUGAUACUGGGGAGAAUAAACUCGGCACAACACGGUGAGAAAGCCCACUGUGGCACCACCCAGGACCCCUCCACCCUGUGGCCGGCACAGUCUGAGGUACAGCACGCAGCCUCUGCUUUGGGAACAGGGUUGACACAGAACUGAAGGCGCAGUUCUGCCUUGUCAGGCCUGCUGCCUGCUCUGUCCACUGCAGUGCAGGGGGAGGCAUCCCGAGACGUCCCACGCUUACUGUGUGUGGUGGCGCAGUCCCCGGCUCUUCCUACCCAAGAGCCCUCACGGGUCCACAAGCCGCGGCCACCCGCCUAGGCAACUGCUCCCGUGCAGCUCGGAGCCAGGGCGACAUCCCGCGGAGGGUCAGGGUCCCCUGGGGUACGGCAGUCAGCACCGAGCACAGGGGACCCACUAGGUGUCUGAAGAGGGUUAGGCACUCACGGAGCCGGGAAGGCUGCUGAGGCAGGGCACAGAGGCCAGGCCAGGGCAGAGCGUGGCACUGCCAAAGGACAGGGCUGGGCGGGAAGGCUGAUCUCGUGUGAGUGAGACCCACACGUGUGUGCGACCCCGUGACUCCACUGGGUUCAGGCAAGCGCCUCAGGAGGCUGGAGGGGCCAGCACUGUGGCUUCACGCCAGCUCCCGCUGCCAUUCCAGGCAGGUGUCCACGGGCCAGGGCAGAGACAGCCACUGCUGCCCUGCUCCCUCUCGGCUUUGCUGAGUAUUUUGCAUCCCGGCACAUACAGAGCCCUCAGAGCACUCUGGAAAACGGCCUCACUACACAGCACAGUUCCCAGCCUCCCGACUGCAUCUUUGGGUGCUUUUCCCUCCUCCCAGGGAACAGAGGAGAAGCUUGUGGGUCCCCUCCCUGUGUCAUUACAGGAAGCUCCCUGCGCCAGGGCGUGUCCGAGCUGAGCCGGGCCUCCCUCCCCAGCCGGGCAGUCACGCUCCCCAGGCCUCCGCAGCAGCCUUAGCACCCUCUGGCAAGCACCUCUGCUGCCUCUUGGGGAGAGGAGGCCGGCAUCUGCCUCAGGCCCCUCCUCCUCCUCCCUGGCAGGAGCGGGGUGUACGGGACUCACCCCACUGGGUGAAACCGUUCAGCAACCCCUCCAAUGAGUGCAGUGUGGACCAUGCACUGGAAGGGAACAGCACAAGCUGCAGGGGUUAUUUUAGCCACAAAUAACAAAACCAGCAUGAAACCGGCCUGGGAAAUCUGAGUAUUUGCAGAGGGCACAGUAUGAGUCCAAAGGAAAGACGGGCUUCGGUGUGCUCUGUGCAGGCUGCAGCCAGCUUCUCCCCCACUCCCACCUGUCCUUCCUGUGUGCUCUGCCCUCACGUGGGCAGCUCCGUGGUUGUCAAGGUGGCUGCCCGAACGUACGUAGUAUUCCUGAUCCGGAAGUGGGAGAGAGACAGUCCAACCCCAGAAUCGCGGAAUCUGCACUGUCCCAAGCAGUAGCAAUGUGGUCACCAUGGAAACGGGGCCUGACCCGGGCUCUAGCCAGGGAGGAGAAAUGAACAUUGUGCCAGCCUAAGGGAGUCACCCCUGUGCCUGAGACAGGUCGAGGACAUGAAUCAAAUGGGAUUGCUGGGAAACAUCCUCAUGGUACAACAUCUGCUGCAACAUCCACUAAGCAUGGAAAAUGUCCCUGCACCCAGGAGCUGGAGAAGAAUGCCUGUGACAUAGAAUUCUGGGGCUCACGCUCAAUCCCAGAAGUCAGUGCGUCAAUUUGUUCCUGCUCUGGUCUUCACAGGUAGCUCUGCUUUUCCUGAGAAGCUUUUACUUUCUGGUGGUGAUUCUAUUUUAUUCCAUCCCUUGCUGUGUAUAUCUAACUGGAUGUGUGCCUACCAAUCACUACCACUUGUUUACCUAGGUAGGAAAUUAUACAACUGUCGUUGCAGAGCACUUCGAAUAAAGUGGGUAAGAAGACGUGCCCACCUGUGUCCCUCGUGUACAGCUGUGCUUUCGAAAUCGCGCCAGCAUUCCCACACCUGACGGGUUAGAGUGGUCACGGGCAUGUCUGCUUUCGGCAGGCAGUGGGGUCUGAGUCCUCAGCCCUGCACGUGAACCGGGCUGACCCCUGAGGCACAGCUGGCUGGGAGAGUGGGUGAGUCCUGCUAAUGGGAGAGUCCUGGGACGCACUGGCAGGACAGUUUCCAGCCCCGCACAGGGCUUCUCGGAGAACUCGCAGUUCGGGAUGGCUUGGCCUGGGCCCGCCGUCAGCCGAAGGCGUGGGAGACACCAGACAGAAGCUCUCCUCACGGGGUCUGUGCUCAUUUCCUACCCGCACCUGGCAGAGCCGGGUUCUUUUCCUACCUCUAAUAAAUGUAAACGCUCGCUGCCUUCUGUGCCUCUCGAUCAAUUCUUUGUUUGGAACAGAAAGAACCUAGAAGCCACCUCUGCCAGUGGCUGUGGCACCAGAACUUGGUAACAAUGUAUUGAGCAAAUGCUUGGAAUUU